rnacentral:lncRNA from 1 species
UUACAAUAGAAGUACUGUAUGUAGUUCCUAGUAUACUACACCACACAGUCCUCUGACAAAUUAACUAUCCAGACACAAUGGCAAUCCAAGAUCUAGACACCAUCUUAUUGUUUCAAAAUACUAUGCAUAAUUGCUUAUUGCCUUAAUAAUCAUCUCUAAUUCACCCCCUCAUGACCUGAAGUCAUUUUCCCCUUACACUGCACAGAUACAGAAAGUUGUUGUGGGUCAAUCUGUUAGCAGUUUUCUUAAACUCUGGGAUUGAAUCCAAGACUCAGACAGAUGUGAUUAAUAAUGGCUGUUUCCCUAAUAAGUUGUGAUAGGAUGUGAUGUAAACAAGUCAGGAAUCUCCACCAGCAAACAGGAGUACUUAAAGAAUGCAGAAGUUGAACCUCCAAUUGUAAAGGGAGGAAAACGAAUCUCGGACCGUCCAGCAACUUUGUUUAAAACUAUGAAGUGAGCGCAAAGUCAUCAAACAGAAAACACUGGACUUGAAGUAACAUGAAGUUCUGCAGACCAGUUUUCAGUUCGGAUCACUCAAACAGUUUGAAGACGAGAGCACCUAGCAAACGAGCUGGGCAGAGGACUGUGCUGGUCUGCACCUGUCCCGGGCGCCUCUCUCUUCGGCCGGGGGGUCGCCGGUGGUCCUCUCUUCGCCUGACCCACCUGAAGGGCACGACGGCCGCCUCACAAGACGUCUACAGCAGCUCGCAGCCCCGUACGGAGGCGGACCGGUAGUUCAUUAUGCUUGUGAAUCUGCUGUCCGAGAGGAACUGUACCUUCUCGUCUGGAGAGGAGGAGGGGGACGGGGGGGUGAGGGGUGCGCACGGCUGCCCCGAUCUUCUGCUCUAGUUGAAGAAAGGAAACAUGAUACAAGUCAUUGAAAAAGCAAACUAACCCAGUGAAGGGAGCGCAGUUUGUAUUGCUGUCACACGGUGCUUUAUGGUGACACAAGAUAAGGCAGGUAACGCUCAGCACUGCAGAAGUUAACUAAGUGGAAAGUACUUCACUGUGAGAAUGUUAUAUCGAACGCUUUCCAAAUGGAUAAUGAGUUUAGCACAUUUAUGCGUAACACAAACCUUCCAAAAGCAUGAAUAUUUGUGGCGAACCCCCCCAAAGCUCAUAACAUUAUUAUACUGAUUUUGACAGCUCAGCUUGAUCUGGGAUCAAAGAAUUUUUUCAGUAUUCAAAAGGUUUACAAAGUUGAAAGGACAUUUUUUACAUUGUGUUUUAAUUGUGAAAAUAAAUCUCUCAUUCUACAAUUAUCAGACUCUUCAUCUGUCGUUUCCGGGGGCUGUGUAAAAUAAAUACACGCAUGUAUUCAUAGAUCAAUGUCAAAACACCGCAAGGAUGUAAAAGAGCCAAAAUACGCGUUCCACUCCUUGUUUCGUGUCAACGUUCAGAAGAACUACACGUUCCAUUAAUUUGAAAGGUAUUAAUAAAAGACAUCUUUGUCGUUUUUGGAAUUAUGCCCUAGAUGCUGAUGCAUGCAUAUGAAAUGCAAAUAUAUUUGUGUACAUUUUAAUUGUGAUGAAUGUAUACAAUAAAG